rnacentral:rRNA from 1 species
AGAGUUUGAUUAUGGCUCAGGAUGAACGCUAGCGAUAGGCCUAACACAUGCAAGUCGAGGGGCAGCACAUGAAGUAGCAAUACGGAUGGUGGCGACCGGCGCACGGGUGAGUAACGCGUAUGCAACCUGCCUACAACAGGGGAAUAACCCGUUGAAAGACGGACUAAUACCCCAUAACACAGGGAUCCCGCAUGGGAAUAUUUGUUAAAGAUUUAUCGGUUGUAGAUGGGCAUGCGUUCCAUUAGCUGGUUGGUGAGGUAACGGCUCACCAAGGCAACGAUGGAUAGGGGAACUGAGAGGUUUAUCCCCCACACUGGUACUGAGACACGGACCAGACUCCUACGGGAGGCAGCAGUGAGGAAUAUUGGUCAAUGGACGCAAGUCUGAACCAGCCACGUCGCGUGAAGGAAGACGGCCCUACGGGUUGUAAACUUCUUUUGUAAGGGAAUAAAGUGCAGUACGUGUACUGUUUUGCAUGUACCUUACGAAUAAGGAUCGGCUAACUCCGUGCCAGCAGCCGCGGUAAUACGGAGGAUCCGAGCGUUAUCCGGAUUUAUUGGGUUUAAAGGGUGCGCAGGCGGGAGAUUAAGUCGGCGGUGAAAUUUUGCAGCUCAACUGUAAAAGUGCCUUCGAAACUGGUUUUCUUGAGUGUGGAUGAAGUAGGCGGAAUUUGUGGUGUAGCGGUGAAAUGCAUAGAUAUCACGAGGAACUCCGAUUGCGCAGGCAGCUUACUAAACCAUAACUGACGCUCAGGCACGAAGGCGUGGGGAUCAAACAGGAUUAGAUACCCUGGUAGUC